CACGUUCAUUUAAGAAAAGACAGCAUUCUUACAAAUAUCAUAAAAACACAAAUAAUUUGCAAAUAAAUAAAUAAAUAAAUAAAUCUUUAAAGUAAAAUUGAUAAAAAUCAUAAUAACCAUAGUCAUAUGCCUUCAGGUGAAAACAAGACGAAUCUUUAAAGUAAAAUUGAUAAAAAUCAUAAUAACCAUAGUCAUAUGCCUUCAGGUGAAAACAAGACGAAAAAAACUAGUUCCUUAUAUCCUCCAAUCGAAAAAAACUUUUCUUGUAAAUUCCUAUCCUGCAACAAGAUUGAUCUCCUUUAACACCAAUCUCUUCAAUUUUUUGGGUGUUCACAUCAAUUCGGAUUAAUUCAUCGUCUUCUUUUCUAAAAAAAACAUACCCCAUCUUCCCAAUUCCAAUUGGGCAUAGGGACCCAUCAAUAGAAGGUAUGGCACUAAAACUUAAUAGUUUUAUCCAUGAUUCCUUCACACAAAGUUGACCCAGAAUUGAUAUAUCAUAAAUAAGACAAUCAUCCCGAUGUGAGAUUAUAGCAAUGGAUCCAUUUAACACAACCAAGUAUUUAUAAUAAUUUAAUAUUCCAUCAAUGGCUGUUGUAAAAAACACUUCAUCACUAAAGUCAAAUGACACUAGGCAUGAUUCGGUAUUACCACAAAAAACCAACCAAUGACAUGCACCAUCCAUGUACACUUCCUUAGCAGUAAAUGCAUUAUCAAAAAACCAUUGAGAGAAAUCCAUGUCCGCUAUCCUCCAAGAGUUAGUUUUUAAACUAUAUAUCUCACACAGUCUUAGUUGCCGAGAACGACGGUCAAAGCGUUCAAACGAUACAUACUGAAGGACCUUAAAGUCAUUU
rnacentral:lncRNA from 1 species